GGGGUCAGGGCCGGGGUCGCUGUGCUUCGUGGCGGCGCGGGUCCUCCGUUUCCCAGGAGGAAAAAAAAAAAGAAAAAUGGAGUCGCAGCCGGCUUCGGCAGGUGUUGGGGCCAGGCGUGCGAGACGCCGAGGCCGCGGGGACUUCCCCACCUGCUUCCAACCGACGAAAGCGUGAAGUGAGGCGCGCCCAGUCCCACCCUGCCCAGGUGUGAAGCGCCUCCCGGACUGAGAGGGCCUUGACUGAGGGGCAGGGAGAGAGGUCCUGGCCCCCGAGUGACCGAGGACUUUCUUGCAAAAAUGCCUGUUUGGGAUUCCUCAGAGUACAGACAAAAAGGAAGGCUUGAUCAGCAUGUGGUGGAUCUGAAGAUUCAAAGAGGUGCCACAGCUCAAAAGUAGACAUUUUGGUAAAUGUGAAGAAGUGAGAUUCAAUGAAGAUGAUAAGAAAUGAAAAGUGUUACCAAAAAAUAUGAAACAAUAUUAAUAAUAACCACCACAACAAUAAGAACAAUGCUGAAGCA
rnacentral:lncRNA from 10 species